UACGGGGGGGGCAAGCGUUGUUCGGAAUUACUGGGCGUAAAGGGCUCGUAGGCGGCCAACUAAGUCAGACGUGAAAUCCCUCGGCUUAACCGGGGAACUGCGUCUGAUACUGGAUGGCUAGAGGUUGGGAGAGGGAUGCGGAAUUCCAGGUGUAGCGGUGAAAUGCGCAGAUAUCGGGAAGAACACCCGUGGCGAAGGCGGUUCUCUGGGACGGUACUGACGCUGAGACGCGAAAGCGUGGGGAGCGAACAGG
rnacentral:rRNA from 1 species